ACCAACUGCGCGGGAGAGCGUGGAUAGCGGGCAACCGCCGGUCCACCACCGAAGGAGCAACCGCCCCGGAAACUCUCAGGUCAGCAGGACCGCGCGGUUGGA
rnacentral:ncRNA from 1 species